GUGCCUGCUUAGGCACCACAGAUACCAAAGCUGGAAUGUUACACAGUAGAUGAGCAUGGUCCCUGCACAAGGAGGGCAACAAAUUCAUGAGGUGUUCCAUAUUUUU
rnacentral:snRNA from 1 species